GUUCAUAAGGCGGGUUAUCUGAGGUGGACCUUCACUGCUGAGAGGUCAUGUUGAAAGUUUCUUACCUUCCCACAGCAGCAGACUCUGAGGGGCAACGGAGGGCCAGAUCACAAGACUGUUAGCCUCGUAGAGCGGGUUGGUCAGACGUUCCAGUUCUUGGGGCCGAUUCACCCAUGACCAAAGGGACACAGUCUUCUCAGACCAACGCAAAACAAAAUCAACAAUCAGACUUCAGACUCACCUCUCAGCUGUACUGUUGCCCAAAAAUGUACCAAACUGAGAAGCAUAGGCGUGUUCAAAGACCAGCACCAGGAAGCCCUCGCUGAAUUCAAAGGAGCAUGGAAACUGGCGAAGGAUCUGCCACACACAGUCCAAGAAGAGCAGGAAGGAAGGAGCCUCUUGACGAGGCUUGCUGUUGGAGUAAGCUGACUGGGCGCAGCGCUGCUGGAACGGGUGACCUGCCUGGGACAGAUGGUCAAAGAUGUGAGAGGUGUCAUGAGGAGAAAUGUAAAGACCAUGUCCAUCAUUAUAUUGAAAUGCUUACUGGAACUGAUAACUGUACCUGCAUGGAAACAUUAUUAACAUCAGCUAAUAUGAGGUUAUAAAUGUUUUUGUAACCUAA